rnacentral:rRNA from 1 species
GACGAACGCUGGCGGCGUGCUUAACACAUGCAAGUCGAACGGUGAAGGGAAGCUUGCUUCCCGGAUCAGUGGCGAACGGUGAGUAACACGUGGGCAAUCUGCCCCAGACUUUGGGAUAACUACUCGAAGAGUAGCUAAUACCGAAUAUUCAGCCUUGCAGGCAUCUGCGAGGCUGGAAAGUUUCUCGGUCUGGGAUGAGCCCGCGGCCUAUCAGCUAGUUGGUGAGGUAAUGGCUCACCAAGGCGACGACGGGUGGCCGGCCUGAGAGGGCGACCGGCCACACUGGGACUGAGACACGGCCCAGACUCCUACGGGAGGCAGCAGUGGGGAAUAUUGCGCAAUGGGCGAAAGCCUGACGCAGCAACGCCGCGUGCGGGAUGAAGGCCUUCGGUUGUAACCGCUUCAGCAGGAGAAGCGAAAGUGACGGUACC